ensembl:snRNA U4 U4 spliceosomal RNA
AACAUUGUGCAGUGGCAGUAUCAUAGCCAAUGAGGUUUAUCCAAGGCGCGAUUAUUGCUAAUUGAAAGAAAUGUAUACAGAAGCCUGCUGGCAGUGGCACAUCCAGUAGAGGGCACACACUGCCACGCACGAGGACCAAGGUUC